AUUGAACGCUGGCGGCAUGCUUUACACAUGCAAGUCGAACGGCAGCGCGGGCUUCGGCCUGGCGGCGAGUGGCGAACGGGUGAGUAAUGCAUCGGAACGUGCCCCGUCGUGGGGGAUAGCGCGGCGAAAGCCGGAUUAAUACCGCAUACGACCUGAGGGUGAAAGCGGGGGACCGAAAGGCCUCGCGCUAUUGGAGCGGCCGACGUCGGAUUAGCUAGUUGGUGGGGUAAUGGCUUACCAAGGCGACGAUCCGUAGCUGGUCUGAGAGGGCGACCAGCCACACGGGGAUGGAGGGACGGCCCAGACUCCUGCGGCAGGCAGCAGUGGGGAAGUUUGGACAAGGGGGGCAACCCGGAUCCAGCCAGGCCGCGUGCGGGAAGAAGGCCUUCGGGUUGUAGACCGCUUUUGUGCGGGAAGAAACCCUCUGGGCUAAUGCCCCGGGGUGAUGACGGUACCGGAAGAAGAAGCACCGGCUAACUACGUG
rnacentral:rRNA from 1 species